GUGCCAGCCGCCGCGGUAACACGUAGGGGGCGAGCGUUGUCCGGAUUUAUUGGGCGUAAAGAGCUCGUAGGCGGCUCGGUAAGUCGGGUGUGAAAUUUCGAGGCUCAACCUCGAAACGCCACCCGAUACUACUGUGGCUAGAGUCCGGUAGGGGAGCGUGGAAUUCCUGGUGUAGCGGUGAAAUGCGCAGAUAUCAGGAGGAACACCAGCGGCGAAGGCGGCGCUCUGGGCCGGUACUGACGCUGAGGAGCGAAAGCGUGGGGAUCAAACAGGAUUAGAUACCCCCGUAGUCC
rnacentral:rRNA from 1 species